rnacentral:lncRNA from 1 species
AAUGUUAAAAAGGAAGAGGAAAGAAGCUGUUUGCAGAGGUGCAUCCACUCUCUUCCACUCUUGCUAUGCUCGGUGAUCAAAUGGGAGCGGUCUUUCUCAUGUUUCUGCUCCUCAUUUGCCUCCUGCAUGUAAGAUUAUAACAACAUCUGCUCCGAACCUCUGUAGGCAUCUACACAAAGUAUUCCCCCUCCGGUCCUCCCAGAGCACACACCCGAUGGAAGGAGAAAAAAAUGCCCUUUCCUACAACUCCAGCCAGCCCGUCCUGCUUGGACCAUCCACGCUGGUGGUGUGUUGUCUGCCUGGGAGCUCCUGCAGCCCUGCCUGCGUGGAGGAACAAGGAUGUGAUAAUACCGGGCCCUGGAGCUGCAAAUGCAGAACGAACCAAGGAGUAAAAGAAUUGACAAGACAAGCAGUGGUGGGAAAUGGAGGGAAGACUGUG